UUUUUUCUUUACUUAGAUUUUUGUUAGGUCUGUACAGAGGAAAAAAAUAAUACUGAUAGAAUAUUCUCUGAGAAGAUAUAAUGCCCUCCAGCCAAUAGUUCUAGAAUAACCAGAAAUUACUUUUCAAAACCCUGUUAUUUUCUUAGAAAAUGUCAACUGCUUAGUAGCCAAGGAAUCCAAAAAAGACUGCCGAUGUCUCAUAGAUAACAUGAGCUAGACAUCCCAUGAGAGCGGUAUAGGUCUCUGUGGCCAACCCACGUGACCUGGGAGCUACCCAGAGAUCUACAAAUGCCAUCCUCCCAGGGACUGUUUGAGCCUCACUGGCAUUCAGCAACCUAACUCCCACAUUUCUGUAGAUGUGAGAAGGUGGAAGGACUCCUACUCAUCACGUGUGUGUAAAUACUCAGACAGAUUUAGUCACAGGUCUCCUCCACCUAAAUUUGGUUCUUGACGUGUGUUCAAAUUCUUUUCACACACACAAAUACACCCACCUAUUACCAUUUCUAUAAAUAAUCCCUCCUCUGCAGGCCUGGUAUGAAACUCUAAUUAGGGUUAGUCAGCAUUUACAAAGUGGUUUGUGCUUUUCUCGAGGCGAAGUUCCAGGAGCUGGAGCGCUUCACGACCAUUCCCUCUAGUGUGCCUGUGCAUAAAAGCUCUCCGAGGUCAGGGAGAGUUGUGGAGCCAGCCUGUCACAUGCAGCAGAGAGCAGGUCAGAGCACGUGUCAGAAGCCGAAUCCCCCGCCUCAGAAGCGGUCUGAAACAGCAGCAUGCAGGGUCUCUGUAAUAAUGAGAACUUCGGACAUCGAUAACCGCAGGAACACCCUGGCAAAUAGGCAAAUGGAGAAAAACAACUAGACCUUGAUGGUGGGACCCUGGAGGGUGUCAGGCCAGGCAGCUCCCCAGUGACUCCGGAGGGCUUACGGGAAAAGGAAACACAACUUCUGCCAAAAGCAGACAGAAGGCUCCAGGUCAGCUGACACUUAAUCACCGAAUGGCCCCACCUCCUCAUCUCCAAGGUAACUACACGGCAGCGAAGCGACCGCUUUUAGGUACGCUUAACCUUGCUGCAUAGCGCCCCCUUUUGACGUUUUAUUAAACUUCCUCUUCUAGCCUAUUGCUGACAUUCGUUUAAACCUGCUUUUCAGCCUUUUGAGCUGUGCAAAAAUACCAAAAGUUGUGUUUGUUUCCUGAAGGAGUGAGU
rnacentral:lncRNA from 1 species